rnacentral:rRNA from 1 species
CCGAGUGGCGGACGGGUGAGUAACGCGUAGGUAUCUAUCCUUGGGUGGGGGGACAACCGUGGGAAACUACGGCUAAUACCGCAUGAUGUCUGAGGACCAAAGGCGCAAGUCGCCUGGGGAGGGAGCCUGCGUACGAUUAGCUAGUUGGUGGGGUAAAGGCCUACCAAGGCGACGAUCGUUAGCUGGUCUGAGAGGAUGAUCAGCCACACUGGGACUGAGACACGGCCCAG